rnacentral:rRNA from 1 species
UAAUACAGAGGGUGCGAGCGUUAAUCGGAAUUACUGGGCGUAAAGGGUGAGUAGGCGGAAGUACAAGUUAGAUGUGAAAUACCUAGGCUUAACCUGGGAGGUGCAUUUAAGACUGUAUAUCUAGAGUCUGUUAGAGGGGGGUAGAAUUCCAAGUGUAGCAGUGAAAUGCGUAGAGAUUUGGAGGAAUACCGAAGGCGAAGGCAGCCCCCUGGGAUAAGACUGACGCUGAGUCACGAAAGCGUGGGUAGCAAACAGGAUUAGAUACCCUGGUAGUCCACGCCCUAAACGAUGUCUACUUGCUGUUGGGGGUAAAACCUAAGUAGCGAAGCUAACGCGAGAAGUAGACCGCCUGGGGAGUACGGUCGCAAGAUUA